rnacentral:rRNA from 1 species
UACGUAGGGACCGAGCGUUGUCCGGAAUCACUGGGCGUAAAGGGCGCGUAGGCGGCCUGAUAAGUAGGGGGUGAAAUCCUGCGGCUUAACCGCAGGGCUGCCUUCUAAACUGUCAGGCUAGAGCACAGUAGAGGCAGGUGGAAUUCCCGGUGUAGCGGUGGAAUGCGUAGAGAUCGGGAAGAACAUCAGUGGCGAAGGCGGCUAUCUGGACGGUUUCUGACGCUAAGACGCGAAAGCGUGGGGAGCAAACAGG